GUUAAGAGGUUUUUCUUGUUGGUGCUGGUCGUUGUCGUCAUGGGAAGCGUGGAGAUGAAGGGUUCGUCUUAUAGAAGCGGUGCUCCCGACGUUUUGUCUCAGAUCUAUAAGGAGCCACCUUAUUUUCCUAGCGUGGAUGGAGCAAAGACUUUUCUGGGAGAUUUCUGGCAUUAUUCUUUCAUGCUGAUAUGCAUUUUGGCAACUUCAAUAUUUCUGUUGCCCAUGGUCAAAUCAGUUUGCAUGGGAAAGAUUUCAAUGGCAGACCAAUCUUAGGAGAUAAGCUUGGAGAAGCCAAAAGAAAGAAAGAAAUCAGAUUUUUUCCAGAAGGGUAUGGGUACAAAACCAAAAGUAUUAAAAAAGGGAGAGCAGAAAUUUGGAUUCAUCAAUCCGAUUAUCAUGAUCCUACCACCCAUCCAGUUGCUCCGUCUCCAUGAUAAACAUAAAAUUGGGUUUAUUGUUCAAAGUUUGGAUUGCAAUAUUUGAAGGAUGUAUGGACAGAAAGUAGUGUGUGAAUGUUAUUUUUGAGCAUCUGAUUAUCAUAACAUUAUCUAAGCACAGAAUGCAUGGAUUGCUAGGGUUGUAAAUGCUUGAUAUUUUAUCUUUUCUUAAGUACGAACGACAUAGUGUAAACAAAAAUUUUGUCUUGUUUUUUUGUUGUAGCUGGGUAUGAUUAAAACGAUGUCUAGA